GGCGCAUUGUCCAAGUGGUAAGUGGUUAGUCUCGUAAAUCAAACAUCAUGGGUUCAAUCCCCAUCUGUGCCU